UACGUUAAAAAUAUUUUUGAGAAUUCAACUUGCCCUAUUUGUAGAUAAAGUUAUUGUCCGUAAUUUAUUUAGUUUAUAAGUAGUCUUUCGCUUUGCAUUAACCUCGAAAAUUGAUUUACUCGAAUGUCAUACUUAUUUGAUGGCAAUUUGGGAAGUGAUCCCUCGCUUUGGCGAAUUAACAGAUAACAAAAUUGUUUUGGCUCGUCGUGUAACAGAUUCCAGUAGAUUACUCUGAAAUCAAGUACUGAAUACCUCCAUUCUUAUGCAAUACGUUUCUCUGAAAUUCACACCGCACAAAACUUGGCUCAAAGUCGAGCGAUAACCAAAAUAGGGCCAAAUGUAGAGAAUUCGGAAUUCUCUACUUUUCUUUUUGUUACCAACAGGUAUCCUUGCUACAUACUGAGCAGAGAGACGAGGAAAUCGCCUACGAAAACUCAGAGCUCCAAACAACGGAGCAGUCAGGUCAUCGGCUGGGAUCAUUUCAUCAUUUCCAGUCAGUUAUAAAGCAUGGCAAUCAAUUCUACAUCGAGGGAACAAAUUCUGGCCAUGGAGCUCUCUAGCCGAGAACUUUCCCUAAAGAUAGCCGAAUGUUCUAUCUACGCAGUUCUCAUCCUUGUGGCUUUCUUUGGAAACUUUAUGGUUUUCUUGGCAAUCAUAAAAAACUCGAAACUGCGAACGGUACCAAACUAUUACAUUGCCUCACUCUCGAUCGCAGACAUGCUGAUGUCACUGAAAAUGCCGCUGACCUUGGUCACGUUGAUAGCGGGGGACUUGGUAUUUGGGGAAGCCAUCUGUCAAUAUCAUGGCUAUACUGGCUCUGUGCUUGGUGUCGCGUCGCUGCUGACAAUCACACUCACAGCCGUCAACCGAUACGUUAGAAUUGUUCGAGUAACAGAUUAUCCGAAAUACUUCAGCUCUAAAAAUGCUUUGCGAAGUAUCGUUGCAGCGUGGGCACUGGCUAUCAUAACGCCUAUCCCUUACCUUGCAACUGGACACCGAUUCGUAUUUCUCCCUGGAAAAGCGUUUUGUUUUUAUGACCUGGACGACCUUAACAUUUAUUACGCCGUCACGACUAUUAUCGGCUUCUCGGUGCUUCCAUUUGGGGUGACCGCAGUAUGCUAUUACAAGGUUUUCCGCACAGUAAGACAGCAUAAUAGCAUAUGGGGAAAACUGUUGAGACGAAUGAGUGCUCCAGGAGCUAGAAAGUUCGGCGUGAACGAGGUGAAACUAGCUAAACUUCUUUUCGUCAUUUUGCUGAGCUUCGCUGCUUGUUGGACGCCAUUUGUAAUCAUAGACACCGUAGGAGCUUUCAAGGGACAAUUCUAUUUUCCGAGAUACGUUUAUCUGAUUUACACCGUGUCUGUAGGACUCUCGUCCUGCAUUAACCCUGUCAUAUACGGUGCCAUGAACCAGGAAUUCAGAUCAGAAUUUAAGAGGAUAUUGACGUUUAGCUGCUGUAGGUUUUCGCUUCCGAAGAAACACGUUCAAGCUAAAUAUGUUGUUGAUAUUAAGGUGCAGAGGAAUGAACACAUAUAACUUACCGUAGAUACACGUUAGAUGUGAAUCGGAGAAGAAAAUAUCACCAGAAGCAGAGCUGAUCAGACCCGAGAACAAAUGGAAUACAUUUGCUAGGAAGGGCAAUAGAACAAACCUUCGCUCCUUGCACAGGUUUUUUGGACGUGGGUCCACUACUGCGUGCAUAAGAAGUCUUCACAUGG